UACGGGGGGGGCAAGCGUUGUUCGGAAUUACUGGGCGUAAAGGGUGCGUAGGCGGCGCGGUAAGUCGGGUGUGAAAUCUCGGAGCUUAACUCCGAAACUGCAUUCGAUACGGCCGUGCUUGAGGACUGGAGAGGAGACUGGAAUUUACGGUGUAGCGGUGAAAUGCGUAGAUAUCGGGAGGAACACCAGUGGCGAAGGCGGCUUCCUGGACCUGUUCUGACACUGAGGAGCGAAAGCGUGGGGAGCGAUCCGG
rnacentral:rRNA from 1 species